rnacentral:piRNA from 1 species
GCCUGAAUAAAAUGAUGUAGAAA